ensembl:lincRNA
AGCUGCACUUCAAGCACGUGGGAAUGUCUGUCAGAAACACUGCCAUCUAGUGGUUCAUUCGACCUCCUCAGUUUCCUGUUUCAGUCCGUGGCGCCUGGCUUGCUGAAGGAAAAAAAUUUCUUGCCUUGGAUUCACUGGAUGAUGGGCUGUAAUUUAUAAGGAACUCCAAUAUGUAGAAGAAUAAGUGUGAGUGCCCGACUCGCCAGCAAGAAAGACGCCACAACAGGAUCCUUCUGCACACGUUUAUUGGGAGAGCUUGAUUGCAGAGGCGAAAAGACCCCGAGCCCCAGAACUGGCACUGCUUAUAUAGGCCUAGGAGGGGCGUGUCCACACCCGAUUGGUUAUGCUUUCAGUACCUCAUUUAUAUGCCUUGGGCCAGGCUUUCAGUGCCUCAUUUGCAUGCCUCCGGCCAGGCUUCAGUGCCUCGUUUGCAUGCCUCAGGCCAGGCAGUGACUCGGCAAAAAAAAAAAAAAAAAAACUCUACUGCACAUGCGCACAUUGGUUGUUUACCCAAACUUAAAAGUG